rnacentral:rRNA from 1 species
UACAGAGGGUGCGAGCGUUAAUCGGAAUUACUGGGCGUAAAGCGUGCGUAGACGGUUAUUUAAGUCGGGUGUGAAAGCCCCGGGCUCAACCUGGGAAUUGCAUUCGAGACUGAAUAGCUAGGGUACGGUAGAGGGAAGUGGAAUUUCCGGUGUAGCGGUGAAAUGCGUAGAUAUCGGGAAGAACACCAGUGGCGAAAGCGCUCUACUGGGCCAUAACUGACACUGAGGGACGAAAGCUAGGGGAGCGAAAGGG